rnacentral:lncRNA from 1 species
GUGUGUGUGUGUGUGUGUGUGUGUGUGUUCAUGUGCACGUGAGUGGGUGUGGUUUGCAGGUUCCAAAGGACACCAGAGGCAUCAAAUUUCCCCUGCAGCUGAUUUGAAUUUGGGCCCUUCUGCAAGAGUGUUCUUCAGAGAGUAUCAUUGGAAUUUUGAUGGGGAUUGGAGUGAAUCUUCAGGCUGCCCUCACCAAUACAUACAGCCACUUUCAGAGUGUUAAUUCUGUCGAUCCAUGAACUUGGAGUCUUCCCACUUUCUGAAAAGGACAGAUGUCCUGCUGUGACUGGACACACAUCUGGACCUCCAAGACAUGGAAAGAAGCAGGAUUUGAACUUGCCUUAGUAAGGGUUUUACUGCUAUGAACAGACACCAUGACUAAGGCAACAUUAUAAGGACAAUGUUUAAUUGGGGCUGGCUUACAGGUUCAGAGGUUCAGUCCAUUAUCAUCAAGGCAGGAGCAUGGCAGCAUCCAGGCAGACAUGGUGCAGGCAGAGCUGAGAGUUCUACAUCUUCAUCUGAAGGCUGCUAUUGGAAGACUGACUUACAGGAAGCUAGGAUGAGGAUCUUAAAACCCACACCCAAGUGACACACCUACUCCAACAAGGCCACACCUACUCCAACAAGGCCACACCUUCUAAUAGUGCCACUCCCUGGGCUGAGCAUAUACAAACCAUAACAGAACUUACUACACAUUAAGUAAGAGGUUACAGAGAAGUUCUUAGGGAGAGAGCAGAGGUCCAUCACAGAUUUAAGUUCAGAGGAGACUGUGAGUGGAAAGGUGACCAUCUGUCCUCACUAUUCUACCAAGCAAGGGUCACUCCUCUGUGCAUAUCCUUGCAAGGUAGAAAGGUAUGGGGGUUUGAAUAAGUAUGACCCCCCCCCCCAAUGAACUCAUGUGUUUGAAUGCUUGGCCCAUAGGGAGUGACACUAUUGGGAGGUGUGCCCUUACUGCAGUAGGAAGAAGUGUGUCACUGUAAAGGCAGGCUUUGAGGUCUUAUAUGUGCUCAAGCUAUACUCAGUGUAACACAGUCUCCUUCUGUUGUCUUCGGAUCAAGAUGUAGAACUCUCAACUGCUCCAGCACUAAGUCUGCCUGCAUACUGCCCUGCUUCCCACCAGAAUGGUAAUGGACUAAGCCUCUGAAACUGUAAGCCAGCCCCGGCUAAAUGUUUUCCUUUCUGCGAGUUGCUGUGGAAGUGGUGUAUCUUUACACCCAAGAGACUCUAACUAAGGCAAAAGAAUAUAAGGCAGGGAAUUGGGGGGGGGGGUCAACAAGAAAGCAUCUAGAAUUUUCCAUAACCACUUUCAGACAUUAACCACAUCUUACAGAAUCCCUCCCUCGAAGCUUCUGCCACCUGCCUGUUCCAGGUCACCACCUUCCUGACUCCCAGACAGUUCUCUCAGUCUGGCCAUGUCCUGGAAUGUCAUUCUAUGUUAGCUCCUGCUUCCUGCCCUAUGUGAGUUUCUGUCCUAACUUCCUUUGAUGACGAACAGCAGUAUGGAAGUGUAAGCUGAAUAAACCCUUUCCUCCCCA